rnacentral:lncRNA from 1 species
AGAAGUCAGGAAUAUUCUUAGCGCAUAAAGAACGUGUAGAUCGCGGCACAGAAGAUAUCUAUUCACUAUGCAGUUUACGUCUUAUUACCAAUAUACAAUGUUUACGUACAAAGCUUUUUUCUUGGUGGUCAUUGUAAGCACCGUCGCGUUGGCGCGCAGCGUGAGUCCUCAAAGAAAUCUGCACCCUUCACCUCGACAAAAAACCUUGCGUGAAAUAUGUAGAGGACCGUGCAUUCUUCAUGAAAAUGGAAGACAUACUUGCCAUCCGGGAUGCCAAUGCGUUGUCGCAUCAAAAUUUGGCCAUCCUAACGCUGGGCAGGGCAACUGUACUCAUGCCUUAUUGUCGAAUGUGGGUAAAUGACACGAAUAAAACCUUGAAUAGCACGUCA